rnacentral:rRNA from 1 species
UACGUAGGGGGCAAGCGUUGUCCGGAUUUAUUGGGCGUAAAGAGCGUGUAGGCGGCCAAGCAGGUCCGCUGUGAAAACUCGAGGCUCAACCUCGAGACGUCGGCGGAAACCAUCUGGCUAGAGUCCGGAAGAGGAGAGUGGAAUUCCUGGUGUAGCGGUGAAAUGCGCAGAUAUCAGGAAGAACACCAAUGGCGAAAGCAGCUCUCUGGGACGGUACUGACGCUGAGACGCGAAAGCGUGGGGAGCGAACAGG